ACCACAACAGGUGGAGCCUGCGGUUUAAUCGGACUCAAACGCCGGGAAACUCACCAGAUAAGACAGCUGAAUGAUAGUCGGGCUGAAGACUCUACUUGACCAGCUGAGAGGAGGUGCAUGGCCGUCGUCAGUUCGUACUGUGAAGCAUCCUGUUAAGUCAGGCAACGAGCGAGACCCACGCCAACAGUUGCCAGCUCGUCCUCCGGGAUGGUGGGGACACUGUUGGGACCGCCUCUGCUAAAGAGGAGGAAGGAAUGGGCAACGGUAGGUCAGCAUGCCCCGAAUUAUCUGGGCUACACGCGGGCUACAAUGGGUGGGACAAUGGGUAUCGACACCGAAAGGUGAAGGCAAUCUCCUAAACCCAUCCGUAGUUCGGAUUGUGGGCUGCAACUCGCCCACAUGAAGCUGGAAUCUGUAGUAAUCGUGUCUCAAAAUGGCACGGUGAAUAUGUCCCUGCUCCUU
rnacentral:rRNA from 1 species